rnacentral:rRNA from 1 species
UACAGAGGUCUCAAGCGUUGUUCGGAUUCAUUGGGCGUAAAGGGUGCGUAGGCGGCGCGGUAAGUCGGGUGUGAAAUCUCGGGCUUAACUCCGAAACUGCAUUUGAUACUGCGGUGCUUGAGGACUGGAGAGGAGACUGGAAUUUAUGGUGUAGCAGUGAAAUGCGUAGAUAUCAUAAGGAAGACCAGUGGCGAAGGCGGGUCUCUGGACAGUUCCUGACACUGAGACACGAAGGCCAGGGGAGCAAACGGG